AUUGAACGCUGGCGGCAGGCUUAACACAUGCAAGUCGAGCGGAGAUGAGGUGCUUGCACCUUAUCUUAGCGGCGGACGGGUGAGUAAUGCUUAGGAAUCUGCCUAUUAGUGGGGGACAACAUUCCGAAAGGAAUGCUAAUACCGCAUACGUCCUACGGGAGAAAGCAGGGGAUCUUCGGACCUUGCGCUAAUAGAUGAGCCUAAGUCGGAUUAGCUAGUUGAUGGGGUAAAGGCCUACCAAGGCGACGAUCUGUAGCGGGUCUGGGAGGAUGAUCCGCCACACUGGGACUGAGACACGGCCCAGACUCCUACGGGAGGCAGCAGUGGGGAAUAUUGGACAAUGGGGGGAACCCUGAUCCAGCCAUGCCGCGUGUGUGAAGAAGGCCUUAUGGUUGUAAAGCACUUUAAGCGAGGAGGAGGCUACUGAGACUAAUACUCUUGGAUAGUGGACGUUACUCGCAGAAUAAGCACCGGCUAACUCUGUGCCAGCCGCCGCGGUAAUAC
rnacentral:rRNA from 1 species